GAGCACUUACUGUCGGGCUAGCAUAAGGCGGAAGCCAGCACCAUCUUAAGGGUGCAGCACUUCGCAACUCUCUACAAAACCCGUUACAGAUCAGUCAGCAGGAGGGUUUGUUGUUUGUUUUUAAAGUCAGAGAAAGAAGGCCAGGCAUCUGCCACAAUGAACAGUUCUUCCACCUUGUCCUGAGGUAGCCCAAGGGCGCCACAGCUCUCGCUCAGCUGUGGGCUGCAUUGUCAGCACACCUGCACCAACUCUGGGACACGCGCAGCUCUAAGCAAAAGACAUGAGGCCUCAGCCGAAAUGAGAUGGUUAGAGGUCAUCCGGUUUCUAGACGUGUGCGGUCACCUGGUCCUGAAAGUCCUCCACAGAGAAUGGUAAUGACAAAAUCUAAGGAUGGAGGGGGGCCUUGUGUCUCCACCUGCCCCACCCCCACCCAGGACCUCUCCCUGUAAGAUGUAAAAGUUCCUAACUUACUGAUGUUCUUUCUCUAAGCUGGUAAAAAAUAGCAGCAAAAACAUCAGAAAAUCACAGGCAAAUCAAAUGUUUUAGGUGUGUAAAAACCUGUUUUUGUUUGUUUUUCUUAAGUAGCAAUAAAAUAUAUGCCAUAUGAAAAGCCCUGAAUCCUUAGGAAUUUGCAUGCUGAAAACCAGUAGGAUUUUCUCCUGAACAAAAGGAAAUCCAGGCUUCCUAAUAUUUUAUAUGCAAAAGAAAGAAUUCCUGCCCAGGUGUUCUGUGAUACAUUUUCAAAAGUUACAUCACCUUUUGAGGAUCAGUUAUUUCUUAUUUAAUUAUUUUACAUGUACCAGUCAGCUCUGUUUUAAUUGUUAAUGUUCAAAAUAUGUUUUCUGUAUUUAUAUAGUUUAUAGUGGAAAGGAGUAAAACUCUGGGAUAUUUAUUUGUAUAUAUAAUACAUAUAUGCUAAUCUUGGGAGGUGUUAUCUCUCUUGUUUGGUUUAUUUUCAUGGACCAAAUCCUGCUUAGAGAAAGGAAUAGAUGCUGAGCACCUUUAAUCCCGACACUCAGGAGGCAGAGGCAGGUGGAUCUCUGUGAGUUCGAGGCCAGCCUUAUAUACAGAGCGAGUUCUGGAAGAGGCUCCAAAACAGACUGACUCUAGAGAAAAAAAAAAACCAAAAAAGAAAAGAAAAAAGAAGGAAAAGGAAUAGGCUUGAUUCUGGGAGAGACUAAGAUUCUUUGCUCAUAUUCAAAAGGUGUCCUAAGCCAUUAACUCAGAGAAGGGGUUCUCUGUCAUUUCAUAUCCUGCAUUAGAAACAGUCCCAUUAGCUUCUAAAAUAACCUCACAAGUUUGCUGCAUUUUAGCCUAAGUCAUGAAGGUGCUUCAAUACUGAGCUCUGAGAGGGAUCAAAUUUCAUCCAGUUUCACAGGUCAUGUAGAAGACAAGUUCCAAGUUGUUUGUUACCCGGUGGGCAGUUUCGUUUUAAAGCAAUGCCAUGUUGCUUUUCAUGGACACCCAUCAGUACUCCUGUGCCUUGUUUCACCUUUGUCUGUAGUAUGUUCUCAGCCUAUAACCUUACGUGUUGACAGUGGCAAGAUUCAGGGAAGGAUUCCCUUUACAUCCGUGACAUUUUAUGAUGAAAGAGCAUUGUUCACCUGCUCCAAAGUCUAUGCUUAGAGCUCUGGCGUCAGUGGGUCGCCUAGGAGAACUACACUUGUCUGUGUCUCAGCUUGUACUCACUGGCCUGUCUUGUCCUGUUUUAGAAAAAAGCAGUAUUAGGGGUUGUUCCUAUAUUCAGGGUUACACUUCUGUUGGAAGGGAGAACUCUGAGCUCUUGGUUUUCUAUAGAACAAUGCUCUGGCCUUAAGUGGCAUGGUUUCUAAACCACAGUAGAGGAGUUGGCCAUGGUUCAUUUUUGUGUAAUUAACAUUGUCUUAUAAGAAGGGUCAGAGCUAUAUAUUUCUGUAGCCAUAGUCCCAGCUCUUGAGAGGCAUAGCAACAUGUGAGACUCCCCAGGUGUCGGAGUGGGAGAAGGUCUUAAUGAGAAACAGUUACUGGCAUUGCUGAUGCCUGUAUACUUAGAAAUUGUACUGUCUGGCUGGGCUUAGUGGCCUGCGCCUGUUAUCCCAGCACUCCAGAGGCAGAGACAUAUCAGUCUUUUUGAGUUCUAGGCCAUCCUAGUCUAUACAGAGUGCUAGGCUAGCCAGUGCUGCAUAGUGAUGAAGACUCUCCCUCUCUGUCUCUCCCUCCCUCUCUCUCCCCCCACCAUACCCCUGAUUUCUUAUUACCCAAAACAAACAGGCUUUUUGGUUUGUUUGUUUUUUUCAAAUAGAAAAAAGAAAGCAAAGCAGGCACACUUGAUUAUGCUGGUCCCUUUUGAGGUUAGAAGAACUUGGUAUAUUUUUAAUGAUAAAAGCCAGAAGUUAGUGCACUGGAGGACAAACAUCAGCCACUGUCACUCAGCUAAAAAGUAGCUUCUAAACAUGUGAAUUAUUCAAGAAAAAGCCUGUGGCUUCAUUCAUGCACCUCAGUGUCUUCACCACGGUGACCACUUCCAAGGGAGGGCAGGACUAGUGCUAGUAAAGACUUAAACGUGUGAAAAGGUGUUGACCCAGCAAAUAUUAAACAAGCAAGUGGCACAUAUGAGUCUAGUUGGAUAUUUGUUUUGCUGUGUGGAAACCACUUUGUCUUAAAGUGUAAGAGCCACUAUAGCACAAGUAAAGCAUUAAUGUUGAAAUGUUUUAUAAUUUAUAAAAGUAAAUAUUGACCUUUUCUGAAAAAGUCUUUUCUUUUGCCCUUGUUUAAUUUAUUUCCCUUUUUUGUUUUUUAGGUUUGCAAUUUUUUUUUGGUGAUGACAUGUUCAGAAUCUUGGAUCCCUAAGUUGAAUGUUGGAAAUAUGUAGGAGCCUUGGAAGUUAUGUUGUUUUCAUAUUUUAAUGUUUUGGUAGGUGAAUCAGUAGACUAAUAAAUGUAUGUAAAGUAAUUCUGUACUUGCAGCUGACAGGUGUGUCUCAGGAUUGUCACCUGUCUGUGCUCUGGAGACAGUCUGCUUCGAACGUUCUCUGUGGACCUCUCAAGUUCUGGGCAGUGUGUGUUCCUCCUGUUGUGCUUUGGUUCACUGGUUUCCUUGCCUACCUGCCUUGCAAUGUGAGCUGCUUAGAACACAGGAACUAUUGAUCAGAAGUUAAGAGAAGAAAAAGCAUCCAGUGUUAAUCUUAAAUGCAGUAAUUACAGAGUUUCUACCUGGAAAUUCUCUCACAAGGUCUACAUUAGAAUAUGUAGGUUUUUGUUUUUUACAAAUAUAUGUGUGGCCAAAUGCUGCCAGGUUUUAAAAUUAGACAUUAUUGUCAGCCAGCGGUGCUCACAUGGAGGGAGUAAGCUGUUGGCUUUCACCUCCUUCCUCUCUCCCUCCUGUGAUGUGGGAGGGCUUGGUGGUCUGUGUAAAAGGAGAAACCCUGAGAAAAGGCCUCAAUUUCCUGGAAGGAUUAAUUUUCCUAAACAACAGUAUCAACAGAAAUCAACAGAUUUGGCUCCCUUCCAAGUGUGGGCAACUCUCAUGUAGAAUGUGGGUGGGAGAGUAUUCAGUCACCAACAGAUGGAUGUGUGGUAUAGAGCAGAUCACAGAGUCUGUAGUCAUUGGUGGUUGGUUGUCCCUUGCCUUCCUCCUCUGCACCUGCUGGAAUUCAAAGACUUGAGGAUACUUAGUUAUUUCAGUCAUUAACUCUGGAGCUUAGUUAAUUAGUGGUCGAUAUGAGUGCAUCCCUACUCUUUAUUCAGUGGUCAAUAUGAAUGAGUCCCUGUUCUUUACACCCUGACUGAGGAGUAGGGAUUAUAAAGACCAAAGUUAGAACAACUUGGAAGGAUGAAGAAAAUGCAGGAAUCUGGAGAGACUGAAUAGUACCUCAGGAAAGUCAUGGUGUGUUUUAUUACUAGUGAGUUGUCCAUUGUUCCUGUGGCCACAGUUACCCUCAGGUUUCUGUUAGAAGGUUUUCAGAAACUGAAGGUCUGUACUACUGCCAGUGGCCCCCUUUUAAUUAAAAUGUAACUACAUCAUUUCCCCUCCUUGCCUUCUCCCUUUUCAGUGGGAUGAUUCACAUGAUACUUAGUAGAAAGCACACUGGAAAACACUAAUUAGACUUGUUUUUUAAUUAUUACAUACCAAUGUACACAUGUGGUGUCUUUUUAGCUGCUUUCUGAUUACAACUGGCUUUUAAAAACUCUCCCUCCAUGAUACUUCUGUCAAUAGAGGUUUCCUUUUAGCCAGUUCUAGCCACAGUAUUAAUUGGGCCUGAGUAUCUAAUACACCCAGAAGGAAUUAACCAGCCAGGAAAAAACUUUGUCCCCACCAGAAUAAAUAUUUUAAACAUCUUCUUAGAUUCUGAAAACCAAGAGUACAAAUGAAAGAGACUUAAGAAAGAGAACACUUAGGAGCCAGGCAGUACAAAGUGAGGGUGGGCUGCACAUGGAAAUCCACAGAGUAGAACUGUGGCAACAGAGUGUAUCCUGGAGGGGAAGAAAAUGCUGGAAUGUCUCGUACGGGAGACAUUCUGUGUUGUCAUGGGUAGCUUUCACCAGCAUGCCAUGGUAUUUAAGAGUAGUGAGGCCAGUGUUUGGAAAUACUGAUGUAUUGCCUAAUGGUGAGUUUGAGUUAUUCUGGCAUGGUCUAAAUGUAUUUGUGGCUCAAUGGUUAAUUUAAUUUCAAAUAAGUAUCUUAAGUAUUAGAGAAAAUAUAUUAGCAAUAAGACUUUUGUUCCUUUGUAUAACUUUACAAAAUAGUAUAGAAUAUCAUGUAUAGUGGAGAGCUGAGGGCAUGGGUAUGGUCAUAAUGGCCGCCUCCCAGAAGCUUCUGAAUUAAAACGUUAAGACUGUACUCAAUUUUGUUUUACUUGUAGUAUCAAGUAGAGAGCAUUUUAGUGUGUCUCUCAUGGGAAAUCUGUCCUUCCUGGGUCAAUGUGCUUCACAGCCUUGACACAUCACAUUCCAAAGAGUACAGAUCUGUGAGUUUCACACAUUAACAGAGGAACCCGGAGAAGCUGAGUGGAGCCAGCUCCCUGUGUUGGGGAAGUUGUAGAGAAACUCCACAUGGAAAUCUGCUGGAAGCUAGGGUUCCUUCACCAGCCCAGCUGCACUGGCAGAGCAUAUCUGUGCAGUCUCUGUACAUAUAGGGACACUGGUGUGUGAGGAUGUCCUGGCAUACGGGGGUUCUGUCACUUGCUCUGAUGUUGAUUUCCUCCCUCAGUGGUUUUCUGCUUCCAAAGGUGGGACCUCCAGGCUGAAGGCUGCCCACUGUCUCUUCACACAGAAACCUGCAGCCACACGAUGGAAACCUCCUGGAGAAAGGGAGCAGAUCCUGCAGAGGCCUCUCGUGAGGACACGUGGAGAAGGUGGAACCUGAGGCAUAGGGCAUGGCGGUGUCUUCUGUUGAUCGAUGUUUAUUUUAUUUCAUAAGGAGUUGAAUAGUAACGCCCUUUAAUAUGAGUAUACUUCUCACCCCCAUCCCCAAUUAUUGUAAAAGUUUUCUCAAGUGUGACCUUUUAUUAUGUCAGGAUAGUUAAGUUCUUGGUGUCAAGUACUUGUUAAAUUAUGUAAUAGUGACUGGAGAUUUGGGACUCUGUUGUGACUUGUAAAUUUGAAGCACAUUUUCAGGAAAAUUAUCAACAUUUCCAGUCGACUCAUUUUCAUUCCUUUCAGCUUCUCUGGUAUAUAGUCUUUUCUGAGGUUGCCAGCUGGAGGAGAUACCCCCACUUUGGUGGCUGCCUUUGAUUUGCACCACUCAAAACCUAAUUUGUCAGAAAGUCCAUUUUAACAGUCUUCUUCUCUCCUUGGUGAAAUCUCAGGUCACCUCCCUGUUCUGUACAGCUUCUCUCUGAAGGUGAAGCCUAGAGACUUGAAGAAACACUACCACUAGGACUAAGUAAUAGAAGAGUAUCACCAGGGUAACACCAGCAGAGCAUCCUCGGUGACAUGCUGUUGGUAUCUUCGAUGAAUUUGACUGACAUUUACAAGCUGGAUGUAUAGACAUAAAGUAAUCUCAUAAGUUAUAUCCUUAAUGUCAGUACAGGUCACCUCUGAGGCAUUUGUGUUUGUGUGGUCUAGAGUUGAUGACCCAUUCUGCUGCAAAGGAUCCAGGUCAGUUAACCUGACUGAGAUAGCAUUUAAAUAGAAUCUGAGGUGUUUUAUGUCUCUAGAGAGUUUUCUGCUUUGGACUUUUGUGGUUUUAAAUCCACAAGAAGAGGGUUCUGGAAGGAGAGCUUGAGUUGAUCCAUGCUUCAAACACAUGCUUUCUGUGAUGACAAUAAAAACAUUGAAUACAAGGGAUUCAAGAGUUUGUUGGAAUCCUGCUGCAUCUGUGCUGCUCAUCUUCCUAGACAAUUCCAUCACGGUUCCUUCUAGCUCUUCAAGAUGGCUCUGUCUGGCUGCCAAGUCCCACGUGGACAUAGAAGUAUCAACAUACAGCCCCCCGUCUUUCCCAUUGUCAGGUUGCAUUCCGCUGGAAACGGGAGCUUCACAUCAACUUGCUGACUCAUUCCUGACCUUCUUCCUUCCUGAAGAGAAGCAGCACUUUUAGACACAGGGACCCUGGCUAUCUAAGGGAUGCCUCUAGAAAGUUCACAGUACUGUAUUCCAAACAUGGCCUCUCAGUGUGCUGGUCUCUGCUGUUGUGGUUUCCAGGGGAAUCUUCUCCAGGAGCCUAGCCUGCCUCAGGAAUGGGGGACUUAGCUGAUUUAUGAGCUUGUAUGCUUGCUAGGACCUGAAGAGAGCUAGAGGACACUACUGUGUCUCCCUUGGUACCUAAAACAAGCAAACAACAAAACAAAGAUCACAUAGAGAAAAUGUCUGUGUCAGCAGGAUUUGUCCAAACCAUAAGCCAACUUUUUAGGCCCACAUGAAUCUUCAUUGAACCUACAUUGACUAUCCAGGUGUUUGUAAGCUAUCAUGUUAUCUUUGGAAAACUUUGUUACGCUAACAUUAAAAAUAAGAUUUUAAGUUUUUUUACAUAUACAUUUCAGAAACAAUACCUAUGUGUUUCUGUGGACAGGCUAUCCUGCUUAUAAUAAAUUCUUGACUCUUAAUAAAAAUUAAAUGGUUCAAUUAUU